CACACCGCUGAUGAUACGAAUGUCCACAGCGAAAAUGUACCAUAGGUAACUCUAAAUCGAUUCCACAGGUAGAGCAUUUAGACUCUUGCACGACAAAUGCUCUUGUACGAAGAAUUGAAAGUUGACUAGUAAUUUCUUCAAUAUCCCGCUUACCCAUUUCAAUAGCCUCAUUUUGUUUCGAGAUUGAUUCACGAUAAUUGUCAAGAACAGAUUGCAUUGAGUCACUAAUGUGCUCGAGCUUGAUAUUGACUGAUUUUCCAAGAAUGUCUAACAAUUGUGUUGGCGAAAUAAGACGUUGAGAAACAAUUAUGUUAACUAUUUCGUUGAUAUCCUGAUACCAACUAUCAACGUUUUCUAAAGACGCAAAACAGUUCAACAUCAUGAUGUACAACUCUUGCUGAUCUGGACCAUGAACACGAACCAUUUUUAAUGCCCGUUCAAUAUCGUUUUGCUGACAGAAAGAGCGAAAUAUAUCAAGCGUUUGACCCGAUUUUCCUUGAACAAAACGAACCCCGUCAUCAAAUCCUAGAAUUUGAGAUAUUAAAAAGACUGCAUUAAGGUCUACGUUUUUUUCUACUUUUUUUAGAAGGGAAUUAGACUUUUCUUGCCAAAAUUCUUGCUUUUCAACGUUUGAGGACGCAAAUGAUUCUCUUAUAUACGCUUCGAAAAGACAUGUAUUAAUGAGAGUCUUGUAAUUUGGUGAUGCAUUUGGUAAUAUUCCUUCCAGAAAUGAAAUCAAUUCUGAGUUAUGAUUUAAAAAAAUAUGAAAGCAGGUUUGUGGACUUGGUGCAGUAUAAGAAACAUCCUCUGAAAACAAU